rnacentral:rRNA from 1 species
GACGGAAGGUGCAAGCGUUGCUCGGAAUCACUGGGCGUAAAGGGUGCGUAGGCGGCUUCUUAAGUCUGGUGUGAAAGCCCAGGGCUCAGCUCUGGAAGUGCACUAGAUACUGGGAAGCUUGAGUACCGGAGGGGAGAGUGGAAUUCCUGGUGUAGCGGUGAAAUGCGCAGAUAUCAGGAGGAACACCGGUGGCGAAGGCGGUUCUCUGGGCAUUACCUGACGCUGAGGAGCGAAAGCUAGGGGAGCGAACAGG